GUUCUGUAACUUGGUUUGUCCCGCCAGGCAGAGAAAGUUCUGCUGCGCAUGUCCGGUGAACGGCACCUCUGUCGUCUGCAUCUUUGGGUUGCGCACUCGGCCAUCAGUGAGACAGUGUGACUGACAGGAUAGACUAGUGACAGCAGAGGGUCUCAUAUAUCCCAGGGUGACUUUGAACACAUGAGGAGCCAAGGAUGACCUUAAACUCUGGAUCCUCCCCGCUCUACCUCCCAAAUGCUAGUGACAGAGCCCGGGCCUGGGCCGGCAUGUCCCUAGAAGGGAGACACGUCACUAUCAUCAGAGUUGCUUGGCAUGGAGGCCUGAAGCUUGACUCCAUGAAAGCCGCUCUUCCCAGUCAGCCUGUGAGGUUCUGCUCUGCAGACGCGUCACAGGCUUGUUCUCAUCAGGAACCUGAGUCUACACUGCUCCAGACCCUGCUGCCCCUGGGAAGGGACCAAGGCCUAGCUGGUCUCUGAUCUAGGAUUUGGACAACAUUCUCGGCUACCCGCCCCUUUAUCUACAAGUCUUUUCACUACAAGCCGAGCCUGUUUGAUUCUUACUCGGUUGCCUGUUUUAAAAAUAAUCUUUUUUAUUUUUGAAAAAAGUCACAUUCCUAAAUUAGUCCCCGGAUUUCUCCUCUCCAGGCUUGAUGGCUCCGUUCACUGCUACGUCUGAGCCCCAACAGCCAAUCCUUUGAUCCCUGUAGUCCUCUCCAUUGCUACUUGGAUUUCGACACCAUUAUUUCCCCCCUCCCGUCCAACAAGACAGGCUAGGAGAGACAUUAUGGGCAGGAUCGGGACUCCUUGUCUUCCCCACUGUUUGUUGUAAAUAACAGCACACUGUUAAGUUCUAGAUACUCAGUUAUGUGUGGCAGUGGAAUAGCACAUAGCAACGAAAAGGAACGAGGCAUUGCUGUACUUGGCAGCAGGGAUGGGCCUCAGGUAACUGAGUGACAGGCAUGCUCACUGCAUGAGAGAGGCGAUUGUCUCGCAGGUAGACAGGUAUCCAGGCUUCGCAAAUUGUAUGCCUUUGAAUACGUGUGGUUUACUGUGGGUCGGUACACCUCAGUGACGCUGCUUCCUUAAAAAGACAUGUGGUGAGCCAGGUGUGGUGGCACACACCUGCAAUCCUAGCACUUGGGAUGUAGAGGCAGGAGAAUUGGGAGUUGAAGGCCAGCCUUGGCUACAUGGUGAUUGAGAGGCCAGCCUGGGCUUACCCUGCCACAAAACAACAAGAUGAUCUGAGAAGUUAGGUGAGCAAAGGACACACAGACAACAUAAAGAGCCAACACGAGAUGGUUACAGGCUGAGCGUGGACACAGCGGGCAGAUACUGGCGCCAUCUCUGCCCUCCUCACGGAGAUUUUAACUUCUGUCCCUGUCACUAUAAAGUAAAGGCAACCACAGAUACGCUGUAACUCCUGACAGGCCCAAGUCAGGCUCCAGAGUGAAACAGAGAUCAGGCCCUCACCACGCUCCUCUUUUCCUGCCUCCUUAGCCACAAGUCCUCCAUCUUGUCUCUCCCUUCCUUCCAGAGUCUGGGGUCUCUCCUUGCAGCUGUUUGCACAGGUUCCAGGCCUGAGACACAUGUCCUGACAUCAUCCUGGCUCCCCGAGUACUUUAGGAGAAGCAGCUGGUCCCAGUCUGCAGUGUUGCUGUACACAGCCCCCCCCCUUCCCCCAAAGUUAGCUGCUCUUUGUCUCCUUCCUUGGCUGGACUAAUUCCUCCAGAGCCCGGACUUUACCUUUGGAGUCUGUGGCUAUCACUCAGUAAUGCAGACAUUGAAUGCAUUGUCGCUUGAUGAUUAAUUAGCUACUGAAUAAAAAUUUGAA